GAUGAAGAACGCAGCGAAAUGCGAUAAGUAAUGUGAAUUGCAGAAUUCUGUGAAUCAUCGAAUCUUUGAACGCACCUUGCGCUCCUUGGUAUUCCAAGGAGCAUGCCUGUUUGAGUAUCAUUAAAUUAUCAACUGUGCCAAUUUGGUUACAGAUUGGAUGUGGGAGAUUCUUUUUGCAGGCCUUUGACUUCUCUUUGAGAAAAAAAAUAAAAGGUCGGCUCUCCUGAAAUGUAUUAGCAGUGCCUUUGUUGGUUCAUUAGGUGUGAUAAAUUGUCUACAUCUUCGCAUGAUACCUUCAUUUGUAAAGGUCAUAUUGCUUCUAAAUUGUCUUUGAUUGGACGCAAAACAUAUAUAAUGUUUGACAAACUUGAUCUCAAAUCAGGCAGGACUACCCGCUGAACUUAAGCAUAUCAAUAAGCGGAGGA
rnacentral:misc_RNA from 1 species